rnacentral:rRNA from 1 species
AGAGUUUGAUCAUGGCUCAGAAUCAACGCUGGCGGCGCGCUUAACACAUGCAAGUCGAACGAGAAAGUGGAGCAAUCCAUGAGUAAAGUGGCGUACGGGUGAGUAACACGUGGGUAAUCUGCCUUUUAGUGAGGAAUAACGAUGGGAAACCGUCGCUAAUACCGCAUAAGCCCCCUGACCGAAGGGAAGGGCGGGGAAAGUCGCAAGACGCUGAAAGAGGAGCCCGCGGCCGAUUAGCUAGUUGGCAGGGUAAGAGCCUACCAAGGCAGAGAUCGGUAGCCGGCCUGAGAGGGCACACGGCCACACUGGCACUGAAACACGGGCCAGACUCCUACGGGAGGCAGCAGUGGGGAAUCUUGCACAAUGGGGGCAACCCUGAUGCAGCGACGCCGCGUGAGCGAUGAAGCCCUUCGGGGUGUAAAGCUCUUUCGGCAGGGAAGAUGAUGACGGUACCUGCAGAAGCAGCUGCGGCUAACUACGUGCCAGCAGCCGCGGUAAUACGUAGGCAGCGAGCGUUGUUCGGAGUUACUGGGCGUAAAGGGUGUGUAGGCGGUUCUUUAAGUUUGGUGUGAAAUCUCCCGGCUUAACCGGGAGGGUGCGCCGAAUACUGAGGGACUAGAGUACGGGAGAGGAAAGUGGAAUUCCUGGUGUAGCGGUGAAAUGCGUAGAUAUCAGGAGGAACACCGGUGGUGUAGACGGCUUUCUGGACCGUAACUGACGCUGAGACACGAAAGCGUGGGUAGCAAACAGGAUUAGAUACCCUAGUAGUCC